AAAAAUCACACGUUAUUUUAGGUUAUAUACAAUGUAUUUUAAGUAAGGUUGUUGUUAUGUUGACGUAUACAAAUUGAUCUCAUAUCUUAUCACUGCAAAAAUUUAAAUUUCUGAUAACAAUGCUCAACUUACUAUAUAAGUCUAGUUACGUAUUCGUCCUAUUCUAUUAUGCAGUCAUACCGCUCGGUUAUUUAACGAAGUGGUGGGUUACAGUUGAAAAAAUGAAGGGUAACAGCACAAUUUUGGUGACUGGUGGUGCUGGAUACGUAGGAUCUCACACAGUUGUUGAACUACUAAAAAAUAAUUAUACCGUGAUAGCAUUAGAUAAUUUAGUUAAUUGCUAUGCUAUUGGAUCAGAGAAGCCAGAAGCUUUGAAAAGGGUUGAAAAAAUAACUGGGGAGACUGUUACAUUUUAUAAUGUAGAUAUCAAAGACAGAGAAGCUUUGGAUAAAAUUUUUAAAGCUCAUAGAAUCGACGCGGUAAUACAUUUUGCUGCCUUGAAGGCAGUUGGAGAGUCCGUUAGUAUACCUUUAAAAUAUUACCACAACAAUGUUGGUGGAUCCGCUACACUUUUUGAGGUUAUGGCUGCUAAUGGUGUCAAAAAGGUCGUUUUUUCAUCGUCAGCUACUGUUUAUGGUGACCCACAAUUCUUGCCUAUUACUGAAAGCCAUCCAACUGGACAAGGGUGUACCAACCCUUACGGAAAAUCAAAAUAUUUCGUUGAAGAGGUAUUGAAGGAUGUAUGCACAUCAGAUCCGGAAUGGAAAGUAAUUUUGUUAAGAUAUUUCAAUCCUGUUGGUGCUCACGAAUCUGGACUUAUUGGAGAAGAUCCAUCUGGAAUUCCUAACAAUCUUAUGCCUUAUAUUGCCCAGGUAGCCGUAGGUCGUCGUGAAAAACUUCAAGUAUUCGGCAACGACUAUCAAACACCAGACGGUACAGGAGUCAGAGACUACAUCCACAUAACCGAUCUCGCCAUUGGCCAUCUGAAAGCGCUAAAUCACAUAUAUUCUUCUAGCUUUAAAUCAUGGAAAGCCUACAAUCUCGGAACAGGUCGAGGUUACUCUGUCCUUGAAAUGAUCAAGGCAUUCGCUGAAGCAUCAGGAAAACAAAUCAAAUAUGAUAUCGUAGAAAGAAGAGGCGGAGAUAUAGCUGAGUGCUACGCUGAUGCCACUCUGGCUAAAAUCGAACUAGGGUGGCAGGCCACCAGGGACGUUAUGGCAAUGUGCAGGGAUACGUGGAAUUGGCAAAAGAAAAAUCCCAAAGGGUUUCAAACUUCUUCUUGAAAAUUGAUGUUUUUCGUUGUGAAGCGUAGAAAAGAUACUGCGGAGUUGUAGCCUUUACGAAAUACAUAACUGAAAGUCGAAAAAUUACCAUGAUAAUAAAAAAUGUUCUCGCUAUAAUGUACUAGGUUCGUUCAUAUGGAUGUUAAAUUAACACUUGUAACACAGUAAGUCGAAACUAAACACUUCUUUUCUGAGAAACGCAGUGAUUAAAUACAUUCAAUGAGUAUGUAUUAUAUUUUUAUCGCCUUUUGUAGUAUAACUAAAUGGAAAAUGGAGUACAUAUAAUAAAUAGUGUACAAUAUAGCGAAGAAAUUCCAGACAUCAUUUAUCUUUGCCUUCAUAGAUCGUAUCCAGCUGUACUACUACUAUCGUUGUGUACGCGUGCGAUCUUGACAUAUAGUCGCUUUAAGGUGGUGGUACUCAUAGUCAACACAUUUCCAAUUUGGAACUAAAAUAUAUUCGCAUAUCCUCUAAAAAAAAUGCCACAUCUAGUACUGUAAGUAACUCAAAUGUUAUAAUAAAAUCUCUAAGUCUAACUUGUUCAGUUCUGAAAAAUCGUGCACUCUUAAGUUUAACAAAUUAUCUUCACAAUUUCAGGUCCAACUUAUUUUUAUCAGCAAAAAACGUGCAUUGCUUCAUGGUAGCUAAUUUUGGUCUAGUAGCUAAUUUUGGUUUUGGUCUAGGGAACUAGAUGUUGUAUAAUUUUACUUUUAUUGAGUGUCCAUUACAAUGGACAAUGGGAAAAAGUCUAGUUUAACAUCCGUAUGAAUCUAGUCUUAAGCGUAAUUAAAUUGAUAUCGAAGGUUAUUGAAAACGGAAUCAGUAGCACAAUUAUAAGGCAACGCAGAUGAUUUUUUUGAGCAGCAAUUUCAUUUCAACUAACAGAGAACAAUGGUAAAUCUUUCCAUUAUUAGAAAAAUUAUAUAAUUUUUUUUAAUAUACAGCAAAUUCCGGUUAUGUUAAAAUUUUGCCUCGCAAAACACGUAAACACAGAAAUAACAUUUUGUUUACUAAAUGUUGUAUAAUUUUCGUUUUAUAUGAGUGUCCAUUACAAUGGACAAUGGGAAAGAGUCUAGUUUAACAUCCGUAUGAAUCUAGUCUUAAGCGUAAUUAAAUUGAUAUCGAAGGUUAUUGAAAACGGAAUCUGUAGCACAAUUAUAAGGCAGCGCAGAUUAUUUUUUUGAGCAGCAAUUUCAUUUCAAGUAACUCAGAGAACAAUUAUAAUUCUUUCCAUUAUUAGAAAAAUUAUAUAAUUUUUUUUAAUAUAGAGCAAAUGCCAAUUAUUUUGAGGUUUUGCCUCGCAGGUUUUAAGAGCAACCAUUUUUAAGGCAUUGGUUAAGUAAAUCGAGACAAAAAAAAACAGUACCAGGUGCACGUUAAUCUGAACAUAAUUUUAAACUUCAUAGAUGAUAAACAUAAAGGUUAAUUAACCAAAGAAAGCAACAAUAUUACACCUUACUGUUAUGAAAACUUUUACGCACGUUUUUCUUGUUAAGAUGAAUAUAAAGGAGAAAUGUAUUUGAUCAGUGCGUCCUCCCAGUCUUGACGUACGGAUCAGAAACACUUACCUUAACUAAAGCCUCGACUACCAAACUAAGAGUCACGCAGAGAAAAAUGGAGCGGUCAAUGUUAGGAAUAACUCUGCGAGACAAAAUCAGAAACGAAGAAAUCAGGAGAAGAACAAAGGUGACUGACGUCAUCGAAAGGAUAGCCAGGUUGAAGUGGAGAUGGGCAGGACACAUAGCCAGAAUGACAGAUGGUCGAUGGACAAAGAGAUUAUUAGAAUGGAGUCCAAGAGAAGACAAAGAGAAGCGUCGGUCGACCGCCUACAAGAUGGACUGACGACUUUAGAAAGCUAAAUAAAAACUGGAUGAGAGCGGCGCAGGAUAGAUGGGGUUGGAAACGAGGGGAGGAGGCAGGAGGCCUAUGUUCAGCAGUGGACUUUUGAGGCUGGAUGAAGAAAGGAGAAGCUUAUCAGUUCUUUUGUUGAUUGAGAUGUUUGACUUUCUUGACUGGGUUUAUUUACUGAGGCGAAUACGCUUCUAAAUCAGUUAUUUAGUAUUCAUCAACACAAAACUGUUACAAUGCUAACACUACUCGCCCCAGAAUGAUUUAUUUGGUGUCGAGUUGCCAGAUGCGAUUUUCUAAAUCCCCCACUUUUAAACUAAAAUUCCCCAAAUUUAAAUUUUUGCCACAUUUUAAUAGCUUUAUUCGCGGAGACAGUCCAUGACUGGUUUCUGACUGAUACGCAUGCGCAGUUCCGUUUUCAAGCGCUUAAAAACGGAAUUGCGCAUGCGAAUCAGUCAAAAACCAGUCGUGGACUGUCUCCCCAAACAAAGCUAAUUAAUUAGUAGCAGUAGUACUACGAGCAUGUACUACACGGUAGUACCCAAAUGCAGAGAACAGAAAACCAAAAUUAUACUACUUAUCAACAGAGGGCGCUGAAAUAAUUCAUAGGUUUUAUCGUCUUCGAUUAUAUGACAGUAGAAUAUACAGUUCUUUUCUUCUUUCUAUGUAUAUUCACAAAUUUAAUUUACCAUGACCGUUAAAAUUCUCCAUAAUUCUUCCCCCAAAAAAUCCCUCAAACAUUUUUGCUUAUAAAAAUUCCCCCAGACGCAUUCAAAUUACCCCAAAAAUGGGGGGAAAUACCCUAAUCUGGCAACUCAUGUCCAACUUCCAAUCGUAUGACUGGUGGGAGAAGUCUGGUGACUAUAGACAAAAGUACGUCAUUUGCGCAACCUCAUUAUAGUCGGCAUUUGCAGUUACCUUCUGUGAUAUAUUUUCAGUUAUGUAUUUCUAGAAGUACAUUAUAUGUGUCAUUUCUACGUCACAACAUUUGAAAAAUUACUACUUAAGCAUUAUCUACUUUAUACAAAUAUAAAUUAUAUGUUAUACAAAAUAGGAAUGUGAUAUACGUUUAUUUAAAUUUACUGUUUAGUUUUGCAGAGUAUUAGACCAUGUCUCAUGAGUAAUUGCUUGAUGUGUUAGAAACGGUUAUUAUAACAUUUAAUUUAAAGGCACUUAUCAAAAGUAAUUGCCUCUAUUGUUUAUUUCAAACUAGUGGCCUUUUGAGCGAUAUUAGGUUCAUAUUAAGUGGUUCAAAAAUUCUUGGAUGCUCGUGAAGGUCAUCCAGUAUCCGGUAUUUCAAAGAAGCACGUGGAGAAAAUUGCAAAUAGAAUGAUAUUCCGUUCUAUUGGCAAUUUAUCUACAUAUACUCCUUUUGAAAUACCGCAGAUUUUUAUUUUCUCUAUAACUAAAUUAUUGUCCUUCUCAUCAUUCAUGUUAAGGCAAAAAAGAACUACCCCUCUUUGUUUAGCCAAUUUUAACCAACAUAUUUUUCAGUCUUUAACGCAACAGUUUUUUAUGGCAAAGUAUGUUUCCCCAACGUUAAAAACGUCAUUAGCUUAAUAAUCCUUAUGUGUAAUUGAUUAAAUUUUAAUUAAAUUUUCAAUCUAUAGCGCUUCGUCCACGUCAACAUGAUCACCAGAACAUCUCCCAUUUCAUAUUAUGUGGUAUAUUUUCUUACCAUAGAACCUUUCCCUUGAAUCCACAUAAGUUCUAUAGGGUUUAGUUAGCAUAUUUCCUUUGUUUUGCCACUUCGUCAAUAACGUAUUGUACAAAGUAACAUUUGUGUACAUUCACAAUUGCUAUUUUUUUUUUUCAUUAUGUCAUCUUAGAAAAUUUCUUCUCAGAAAUCUACUGAAUUAUUUGUGUUUUUUUUUUCAAGCAGUUGUGGACGAGUUUCCAGAUCUUGAAUGGUACGGAGUCUGCUGUAAUUAACUCUAUAAUUUGCUCAAAGUAUUCCUAAAAAAUCAGCACUCACAUCUGUGUGUCAAACACGAAUUUCUGUUAAGCCUUUACUCAAGCAACUUGAUAUAAAAAAAAAACAAGACGAACCAUUUACUAUUUGCCACAUAAUAGGGAACUUGCACAUUUUUUUAUUACAUAAUAAUGUUCAGUUUUGUAUAAAAAUGAGAUUUCCAAAAUUUCACGCUUCAAAAACUCAUAGUAACUUAGAAGUACAAAUUUAAAGUCUUCUUUAUCUUAAAAUGGUUCAAACGACCCGUGACGUCACAGAGUUUAACUAAGGUUUAACUAUGUGGUUCAGUUUAUGGUUAUAUUUACGUAUAUUCUUCUUCUUUAGUUUAUUGGCCUCCACCUACUUAUGUAUUUGGCCAGCUCGUCGUCGGGGAAAAAAGGAAAAAUAUUUAUAUUCUAAUGACAUUUAUCGUACGUCGUUGUAAUAAUAUAUACCAGUUUGUUGAGACUGGAGUUUGAUACAGUUUUUGAAGGAAAGGAAAGAAGGUUUACUAUUGAAAAUAAAACCAUUUUGUAAAAGUACAAAUUUUCUAUGAAUAGCUCAAACGAUCAAAAACACUUUUAACGUCACAUAACUGUAUUUUUUACUGACGUUUAUAAUGUCUAAUUUAAAAUUAUAUAUACAAUUGGUGUAGAAUGUAAACAUACAACCCGUGACGUCACGACGCGUUUUGGGGUGGCUGGUAUAAGUUGAAUUUUUAGUAGUCUUUAGGGGCCAAACGAAAGACAAACAAAACUUUUUUAUCUUUGAUACAGGUUCUAAAUUAUGUUCUGUUGUGAUUUAUACCAUUUUUUUCGAAUUUAAAAUUGUAUGCAAGUUCCCUAUUAGAAAUGAACAACAGAUUUAGAUAGGGUUAAAAUUAUCUUGAACACAUUGAGCUAAACUGCAUAUCAAAGCAAAGGAAUAUUCCAAAUCAACAAAUGUUUUUUGUAGUAAUUAAAUUUUAGUUGUUUUCAAAUUUUGGAUUAGAAAAUGAAAGUGAUUUUCAGAAUUUUUGUUUAGAUUUACCAAUUAUGUACAUGCAAUGUUAAAUAAUGCAGUUUCCCUAUUGCGUUUGUUCCCCACAUUCCGAACUUUGUGUUUUACUUAUUGUUUUAAGUAUAUCUAUAUUUGCAGCGGACACACCUUUUCAAAUUAUGAAAGAAAUACAUAUUUUACUUUUAUCUGAUUUUAAUCAAAAUAUAUUUUCAUGUUCCUUGUUAUGUCCCACUGGAUGACAUUUAUGAAUAGUUCAUUUAAUUCUGUAUAAAAAUACUUCUAGUUGGCAAUCAUCAUGGAAAGAGUUUAUCAUUUUUCUCGAUCUGCAGCAGUUCUUUACUGUUGUUUUCACUCCAUUGCUUUAAAUUAUUCAACCAGGACAUGCUUCGUCUCCCCGUAGUCUUUUCCUUCCACCUUCUCUUCUUAUUCCUAAACGAUCAUAAAACGGCAUCUCAUGUUUUUAAUGACACAAAUGUUAUCGAUCUCAAAACUUACCUACCUACUCUUCAGUCGUAGUGUAGACUUUGAAUGGAGUCAGUUUUAAAAAGAAAAUGCAAAAGUACUCCAACUAUGUACUACAUUUUGACUACUAGUCAAAAACCAGAGUAAUAAUUUUUGUGUUAAAAACUCUUUCCUCAAAGCAUGAACAUGUUUACCUGUGAAUAUUGUUAACUGCACAACGGAAUUCAUAAGUCCUAUGAUCUCCUGUACGUUAUUGUUGCUCAUAAAAACAUGUUCUCUGUAUGUCCCAUAUGUUAUGUCUUAUACAAUAUGUUCAGUUUUCGAUUAGAUAUAAGCGACUGUAAGAAGUGCUAAAUUCGGCAACAUUGGUUAAUCCACUAUCGUUGUUUAAUCGCCGAAUGACGGCGAAAGACGUGUGCGCUUUGUUGCCAUUUAUAGACCGUAUAUCUAAUAUGAAACUAAACAUGCUGUAUGUACACCACUUCCGAGUUCCGAGGCAGAAUGAAUUAAAACUAUGAUGUUAACAACAUUAGAUUGUUUUAAAUUUAAACUUACCAUUAAUUACGUUACAAAUACAACUAGUUCAUAAAAGUUGUCCAGAGAGGAACCAGUGUUAAAAGUACUAUUAUCUAGCUAUUUAUACUAUUUAUUGUUGUAACAUAUCCUGUGUGUAUAUACAAUCGACAUUUUUAACUUAUCGCCUAUCAUGAAAUUGAUUUUUAAAACUUGGAGUUUUUUCACUGAUAUAAUAUAUUCAAAAUGGUUUAAGCUGAAAUUAGAUGUGUGCUUGACUAUUUUAUGACGAUUAAUAUACUUAAUCUAGUAAAAUCUACUUUAAUAUGGUGCUCUUGAUGAUAUACUUAUGAUGUACUCUGUAUUUUACCUGGUUUAUUGCAAACUUAAAAAUACCCGUGAUUUUUUUUGGUUUUCCAUAGAUUAUUCGUAUAAAGCUUAAAUGUGGCAACAAAGCACAAGUACUAUUUGUAUAACUUAUUCUUCCUUGCAAUAUGAAUUAAUUUAACAAUUUUACGAUGACAGUCGUCAGUAAGAUAUCUAAAAUAAGCUUAUUUCUGACUUAUAAUUAAAAGUAGAUUUUAGUAAAUCUAAUAAAUAUUACUCAGGUUUAAAUCAUUUUGAAAGGAAAAUUCUUCGACUUUGAUCUAAUAAAUGUUAACUUUGUAAAUGAUAUUUAAAAAAUAAUGUAGACACAUUUUAAAAAAAUGUCUGGCGUACAAAGUAUACAAAUAUAUUAUUUUUGUAUCAGCAA
rnacentral:misc_RNA from 1 species